CUACGGGCUGCACCAGUGGGAAAUAUUGCACAAUGGGCGCAAGCCUGAUGCAGCCAUGCCGCGUGUAUGAAGAAGGCCUUCGGGUUGUAAAGUACUUUCAGCGGGGAGGAAGGGAGUAAAGUUAAUACCUUUGCUCAUUGACGUUACCCGCAGAAGAAGCACCGACUAACUCCGUGCCAGCAGCCGCGGUAAUACGGAGGGUGCAAGCGUCAAUCGGAAUUACUGGGCGUAAAGCGCACGCAGGCGGUUUGUUAAGUCAGAUGUGAAAUCCCCGGGCUCAACCUGGGAACUGCAUCUGAUACUGGCAAGCUUGAGUCUCGUAGAGGGGGGUAGAAUUCCAGGUGUAGCGGUGAAAUGCGUAGAGAUCUGGAGGAAUACCGGUGGCGAAGGCGGCCCCCUGGACGAAGACUGACGCUCAGGUGCGAAAGCGUGGGGAGCAAACAGGAUUAGAUACCCGAGUAGUC
rnacentral:rRNA from 1 species